rnacentral:rRNA from 1 species
CCUACGGGUGGCAGCAGUGAGGAAUAUUGGUCAAUGGGCGGAAGCCUGAACCAGCCAAGUAGCGUGCGGGAUGAAGGCCCUACGGGUCGUAAACCGCUUUUGCACGGGGAUAACACCCUCCACUUGUGGAUGUCUGCAGGUACCGUGCGAAUAAGGGCCGGCUAAUUCCGUGCCAGCAGCCGCGGUAAAACGGAAGGCCCGGGUGUUGUCCGGAUUAAUUGGGCUUAACGGGAGCGUAGGCGGGCGUUCAAGUCAGCGGGAAUGUCGCGGGGCCCAACCGCGCCCCGCAGUUGAAACUGGACGGCUUGAGUGCACAACAGGCAGGCGGAAUUCGGGGUGUAGCGGUGAAAUGCAUAGAUAGCACGAGGAACCCCGAUUGCGAAGGCAGCCUGCCGGGGUGCGACUGACGCUGAGGCUCGAAGGUGCGGGUAUCAAACAGGAUUAGAUACCCCAGUAGUC